GUAAUGCCGGAUGCUCCGACUCCUCGCAUGGGGUGUCGGGAAAGAUUUCAUCGGUAUGGGAUGGGGUCGCGUCCUAUCAGGUAGUCGGCGGGGUAACGGCCCACCGAGCCUACGACGGGUAGCCGGCCUGAGAGGGCGACCGGCCACAUUGGGACUGAGAUACGGCCCAGACUCCUACGGGAGGCAGCAGUGGGGAAUAUUGCACAAUGGGCGCAAGCCUGAUGCAGCGACGCCGCGUGCGGGAUGACGGCCUUCGGGUUGUAAACCGCUUUUGAUCGGGAGCAAGCCUUCGGGUGAGUGUACCUUUCGAAUAAGCACCGGCUAACUACGUGCCAGCAGCCGCGGUAAUACGUAGGGUGCAAGCGUUAUCCGGAAUUAUUGGGCGUAAAGGGCUCGUAGGCGGUUCGUCGCGUCCGGUGUGAAAGUCCAUCGCUUAACGGUGGAUCUGCGCCGGGUACGGGCGGGCUGGAGUGCGGUAGGGGAGACUGGAAUUCCCGGUGUAACGGUGGAAUGUGUAGAUA
rnacentral:rRNA from 1 species